CUAGACGAACUGCCGUUGACAAAACGGAGGAAGGUGGGGAUGACGUCAAAUCAUCAUGCCCCUUACUGUUCUGGGCGUACACACGUGCUACAAUGGCCGGUACAGACGGACGCAAGCCGCGAGGUGGAGCAAAUCCUAAAAAGCCGGUCUCAGUUCGGAUUGCAGGCUGCAAUUCGCCUGCAUGAAGUCGGAAUCGCUAGUAAUCGCAGGUCAGCAUACUGCGGUGAAUACGUUCCCGGGCCUU
rnacentral:rRNA from 1 species